rnacentral:lncRNA from 1 species
UCAAAGAAACAGCCAUAGCAUGCUGAUUUUGGCUGGUGACUGGUCUCAUGAGUAGGCAUCUAUUCCAAACAGGGCUGUUUUUUGUGAAGAAAAUACCUCUUCUUCCCUGGAACAGGUACCUGUGGAAGUUUCUCAAGGCUUGUAUUGCUGCCCUAGUUGCUACCACAAGAAGUGAAGAAGGUCAAAACUCAGAAGAGGUGGGGCUAAGGCAGGAAGAGGAGAAAAGCCCUAACCCAGCUCAAAAUCCCCAGGUCCACCUGUGCCAACAUCACCUGCUACUACCUCCUUCUCUACACAAGUCAAUCCAUCCUUGCAGCUUUGCAGAUUUCCUGGAUACCAUCUCUGCCCUCAGACCAAGGACAGCCAGAUCUUUCCCUUGCCAAGCCUAUCGGCCUCCAGUGAUGGACUUCAACUCAACUGCCAAACCAGACUGUUGCUUUCUCUUACUGUUUCACCAUUCCUGAUCCUAUGACUUUGACACUAUUGAAACACCAUUAUGCAGAGUCUGGAAGACACAAUAGGCCAGGGGAUUUAAUGAUCGCUUUUGUUAACUUCAAGUCAGCAUAGUGUUAUUGUAGAAUCAUGGUGCUUAAAAACAUCCCGCUCUAGAAAGCUAAGAAAAUUACUGCAAUCAAGAAAAAGAAAUUGCCUUCUUCCAAUCAAAAAUUUUGGCAACUGUUUUAGUCUUGGCUAAAGCUUGUACAUUUUUUUGGCAUGGUGUUUACAUUAUGGGCUGAUCAUCAAAUCCUGGUGUGGCUAUGAAUAAAGAUUAUGUAGAAUAUGAAAAACAAAUUAAAGAGAUGGCUACAGAAGCCUUGCAGAUUCCAAAGAACAUGUGCCUGGAAGGAGAACAUCUUGGCAGAAGAUGUCUUUGGGACCUGCUAACUCUUAGAACUUUUGCCCUCUGCUUUCCUAAAGAAGAGAGAGAAAUCCUUCAUGGUAAAUUUGACAUUUAACCACUUCUUUUUGUGGCUUCCAUUUGUUUAAAUGUUUAUUUCAAUUGGAUAUAAACUUAUUAAAGUAUUUUCAGAGGUUGAUUUAACAAGUUCCUUGU